CUUGUUUGUACAGCUUAUUUUUAACCACUUCCCUUUUUUCUGUGCUUCUAAUAUGUAAAGCUGCUUUGAAACAAUUACCAAUUGUAAAAGCGCUAUAUAAAUAAAUUUGACUUGACUUGACUAUUUAUUGCCAUCUCGUCCUGUUUGCAGAAUUAACUGUGCCUCCAGCCAUUAAGCAGACCUGAACCAGUUGAUGAAGGUCUUCAGGAUCACCAGAAACUACAGGCAGGUGUGUGAGAAAGUUGGAGCUACAUACUGCAGGACGUUGGUCCUCCAUGACCAGGACUGGACACCACUGUUGUCUAAGCCAGCCACAGUGGAUACAGUGAAGCCACAAACACAGUUCAUAGUUCUUGUAUUUCUAUUACACAUUAAAUAAUAAAAAAUAUAAUGUUAA